AUCCAGUUGAUGAGUCCCAAGUGGGACGAAAUGCGCACCCUGGAU
rnacentral:hammerhead_ribozyme from 1 species